UCCAGACUCCUACGGGAGGCAGCAGUGGGGGAUAUUGCACAAUGGGGGGAACCCUGAUGCAGCGACGCCGCGUGGGUGAAGGAGCGUUUCGGCGCGUAAAGCCCUAUCGGCAGGGAAGAAGGAGGACGGUACCUGACUAAGAAGCCCCGGCUAACUACGUGCCAGCAGCCGCGGUAAUACGUAGGGGGCAAGCGUUAUCCGGAUUUACUGGGUGUAAAGGGGGCGCAGACGGCAGCGCAAGCCAGGAGUGAAAGCCCGGGGCCCAACCCCGGGACUGCUCUUGGAACUGCGCGGCUGGAGUGCAGGAGGGGCAGGCGGAAUUCCUGGUGUAGCGGUGAAAUGCGUAGAUAUCAGGAGGAACACCGGCGGCGAAGGCGGCCUGCUGGACCGUGACUGACGUUGAGGCUCGAGAGCGUGGGGAGCAAACAGGAUUAGAUACCCCGGUAGG
rnacentral:rRNA from 1 species